GCGCGCGUUAUUUCACUCAUUGAGCUCGAAACUGGUGCGAAAACAACGGAUUUUCGAGUAGCAGACUGAGUGAUCUGUGACUUGCUGCUGCUGGCCUUCCUCCGCUACCAUUCUCCACGCGUUUCCGGUAUUUUCUGCGGUGGGUGUAUUGACUCAUCAUCAACCUCAUUCAUACCCCUGCAUUUGGACUGGUCGCAAACAAGUGAUUUGUGUGCUGUAUUUUUUUUCCGAGGGAGUAUUCAACGUGUUUCAGGAAUAUAUACAAAACAAAUUGUGAUUGAAGGAAUAUAAAUCUAGGAUUACCGCAAUGGCCAGUCGGAUGAGGAAGCUAUUUCAUCGGCAGAAUGCUGCCGCUGUGGAAGAACGGCGUAAAAUGCGAAAGGAUCUCUUUGCAUUCAACAAGACUGUUGAGCAUGGCUUCCCCAAUAAGCCAACCGCCCUUGCCUAUGAUCCUAAGCUGAAUAUCUUUGCCAUUGGGACAUCAAAUGGAGUCAUCAAAAUGUAUCCUUUUCAGGUCAACAAAUGUCACACGCUGAUCUUGUGAUGGUCAUAAAAAGAAAAUCAUUCAUGUGAUCCGACUUAAGCCUGUGCUUGCAAUACAUCUACAUGUACGUGUAAAAGUGCAUGCAUGUACGGUAAAGAACAUUCAUGUACAUUGUAAAGUGUUGAGCUUAUGAUGUGUAGCACUAAUGUAGCUACUAUAACAUGCCAUAGUAUAUCAUUCUACAUUCAUGUACAUUGUAAAUGAAGGGAUUCUAGUUAAAAACAAAAUGAAACAAAAUAUGGUGCUUUGUUUUUAGUUGGGGCGGGGCCUUCAAACAAUACCAAGACAACAUGUUCAUGUAGGCCUACAGCUUGGGAAAUAAUUAUUAGACCAUACUGUACAUGUAUUGUAAGGGAGCUUCGUAGGAAAGUGGUCAAAUGUUUAUUACCCAAUCUGUACAUGUACAUGUAUGUACAGUAAUAUUUUUGUUAUUUACUUUUUGUGCAGGGUUUGUUGUAUUUUGAUACACUUUCCUUGAAAAUUCAGUUGUUGUACAGUAGUCAUGACUCAGUAAAUUUGUCUUCAUGGUCAAAAUUCUAGGAUUUUUUUGAACUUUUAAACUUGAAGUGACAGACAAGUCUUUUUUGGCUUCUUGUUCUAAACAAUGUAUCCCUUUUUGUCUCAUGUUCGUUUUUACAAUCUAAAAAAAAUAUGGACAAGCUUUAUGAAAGUUGCUCUUUGUCUCUCUCCCUCUCUCUCUCUGCCUGUUGGUUAUCUACCAAUAACAGCUGUUUGAACAAUGGUAGUGGUAUGCCUGUAUUAUAUGUGAGCAAACAUGAGUCACUGAGCUAUUGUUAGUCAUUGUUUUCCAAUAUUGAUCCAGAAAAAAAUCGCCCCACUCAUGAUUAACAAAAUGAUCUCAUUUAUUGAUCUGGUGCGAUGCUGCAACAAGCAGUAUGGAAAGAAAUGUGCAGUUGGCACUGGAAAGUGUUGGCUAACAUUAGUCAGUUCUCAUUAACCAUGCCCCGUCGUGUGAUGAAAAAAUAUUCAUGCAUUAUUCAUGAUUUCAUCAUGUCGUAGUUUAUGUGUAGACUCCACCCACAGGGAUGAUUAAUGAAUUCAUAAUGAGUAGGACUAUUGUGUACAUGAAUGUUCUUGAUAACAAAAGGCCCACAGCUUUGAAUCUAUGGACAGCAGGACAUACAUGUACAAAAGGCAAAUUUGAUUAAAGACAUAGUGUCUUUUGAUAUUAAGGUAUUACAUGUACUCUAUGCAAAUUAGCCACCCUCCACUCACAAUCACUUCGAAAUCACAAUAUUUUUGGCGAGGCUACUCCCCCCUCCCUCCUUGAAAUACACUCAUUAAUCAUCUCAGACAGCUGAUGUCUUUUGGGCUGUAGGUCUACUGAUAGCUGGACAAAGAAGCUUUCAGUAGCAUGCUCUACCAAUGAACGAUGAAGAUACAAUAUGUUGACCUCACAAAUACAGUUGACCAAGCACCAGACAUGUCAUCAUCCAUGGGAGUAAUGCAGCAUACAGCUCUAUCUGUUUUACCUGCGAAUCAUAUGAUGGGUUGAGAAAGCAAUACUGAUACAUGUAGUCACCACAGUUUUCUGUUUUCUAAUAGUCUAAUUCUGUGUUCUUCCUUGUUCUAAAAAACAUUAUUCUGUGUUAGUUUGGUAACAUGUACAAAACAUAAUCAAUAAUAGGGAUAAUCUUUAAAUGUAUUUAAAGUUUCUAUGCAGAUAAAGCUUGGCAAACACAUGCUAAACACUGUGAAAAGGCAUUAAGUGUCAUGAUUUUUAAUAUAAAAAUAUUUUUGUGAUUCAAUUUUUUUUCAUGAAAUUAUGUGAAUUUAAUCUGUGGCAUUUUUCCUUUUUCUGUGUUGCUGAAAAGUAAAAACUACAUAUUGGAAUAGCUUGAGGUGUCUCUGGAUCCAUAAAAUAUUAUUUUGGAUAUUUCAUUAGUUAACAGAACAGUCACAUGAUAAACACAUACAACAGCUGUAUGUCACAUGAUAUCACUAAUUAGGCAACAAUGUUUGCCAACUAUUUGCAUCUUGUUUGAACUACAGAAUGGUAUCGGUAUUGUGAAAAUACUGUAUAUUGGUUGAAUAGGUUCAUGUAGUGAAACCCCUGAAUAAAUACAAGGAAAUGACCCAGCUCACUCUCAACUAAGUAUUGUAAAAAUAUUUGAAUAUUUUUUUCAUUCUCAUUUGUGAUUGCCAUGCCAACUUUAAUAACAUUUGCAGACUGAAUGACUUUGUACUUGUAGGGGUGGAAGGAUGAGGUUGAAAUAACAAAAGGUGAUGAUUUGAUUACAUUUGGCUAAAACAUGAUCAAAUGAUUUUAAAUUAAAAGAUUAUGAAACUCAAUUUUAACACCCUGGAAUAGUGCAUACCGGUACAUUGCAUGCACGUAGUCCUACAUGUGUAGCAUGUGUACUGGUAUCUUUAACGUGUCUUUCAAACAUACAAAUACACACGUACCUCUAAUUGAUUUAAGUUAUAGUGGAUGACAUCAUUAUUUACAUUUGAAAUUCAAACACUCAUGUCUGGGACACAAGCCAGCCCGCCAAUUUCUCCUCUCUGCAAAUAUAUUGAUCCCAUCGUUGGUGAGUAAAGUACACGCGGGCCAAUCACUAUUAACGCUGACAUGCUUGUGCUUUUAGUUAUCUGUUGUGUACAGUACUUCUCGUUGAAUCCCAGCUUCGUGUCAUUUGCAUUUCCAUUGUAUGUGAAUGAUGUUUUGAAAAUAAAUCUUCAAUCUGGAAUUUGUGAAAUUGUAAAGAUAGAGCUUUGAUUAUUCCCAAAAUUGUCAUGUUUAUAGAACUGUUUUCAUUCUAAUCAGAGAACCAUUAUCAUUGACAUGUGGGUUGCAUUUCUAUAAAAUCUCACUUCUAUAAGCAUUUCGUAUUAAAAUAUAGCUUUAGCAAACUACUGUGAAAAGCAUGAAAUAUACAGAGCAUGACCAAUGGCAUCACAAAUACAACAUUAAUUACCGGAAUUUACAUAUAAACUUCAUUUUCGAGCUUCAACAUAAUUUGUCUACAGGUACAAUGUAUGACAUAAUGUACAGUCU